UCUCUACACUGAAAAAAAGGGACUGGCCAUCUCUUGGAUUUAUGUGAAGUAAGUCAAUAAGAUAGCAACGUUAAAUCUCGUGAAACCACGCGUGAUUUCAUCUCGCGGGCUUUGGAUCGUGGUUUAAAAAAGGCAUCCAUCUCAGUCAAGUCGAGCAGCCAACUCUACGUUUUUGGUAUGUCUUGAUUUUUUGAAUUAAUAUUUACCAUAUUUCAGCCAAAUGUAGUUAAACGUCUAGAGUGUCGCCAUGUAACAUGCUAAAAAAGAGCCGUUAGCUUAUUUGCUGUUUUAUCUGUUGUCAAAGAAUUGGCGCUUUUUCAUUUGAAUUUGUCUUUGGCACAAGAGCCGUAAUAUCACAUUAAACCUAAUUACGAGGCACUCAUAACAUAAUUUGGUUUUCUGUGUGAAUAGAUUUGCCAACUGACUCUUCAGUUACAUUGUGUAUUUACUGCACCGUGGUGUUAGUGAGAUUUUGGACAUUGAACAGCUUUAGCUAAUAUCAUCAGCGGCAUUAUGCUAGCUUACAUCCCUACCCCUCCUGGCCUCACCUGCUGUCCUUUUGUUUUUGUUUUUGUUUUUUUUGCUGCACAUUGAGAGACGACCUCUAUUCUGCAUUUCACCAGGAGUCAGCUGAUGGAUUGUGGGUUCAAGGUGUUAUGAUAAAAUGCAGCAUUCCAGUGCAUCCCAACCAUGCCUUUACAGUCAAGGUUUCUGACGGAGCUGAGUUUCUCUCUGACAGUCUGCUGAAAGUGUUUGCAAAGUGAUCGGGGGAACAGGGCACAAAGCUAAAGGAUGUAGCUGCCAUUAUGACAUCAAGGAUGACAUUAAUGCUCGGAGUCCCUCAUCAAAGUGCUCCGCAUCUGUGUGAAAGACAAUUGCAACAUCUUGGUGCAGGAGUUCAUGGUGAGUGUUUUAUGAGUAGAUUGUGGCUUUGCAACAUUUAAAAAUGCAUUUAGUUAUCCACUUGAUCCUCAUUGGACUGGUUAGGACCAGUAGUCCUCUUUAAUAAUUUGAAGUUCACAUGAGGCCUGGUAGUGAACUCGGCCACCGGCCCUUGAGGCCCCAUCCCCACCCCUGUAUUAGGGGUCACAUCAGUGUGAAAAAACUUUAAAUUUGUCAUUCUAAUGAACAAAGGAAAAUCCCACCAGUAUUUACAUUAGCUUUUGUUUGAAAAAAAAAAAAAAAAAGACCAACUGACCAACAGCUAACCAAAUUGUGGGGCUGAAAGUCUAAAUUCUAACAUCUUCUGAGUGACAUAGCCUGGAUUUCUGAUGGGCCGGUGUCUUUCUAACAAAAACUAAUGUAAAGCAUUUGAAAUUAUUAUGUUUUUCACCCUCUCUUAGAAACUCUGUUAGACCAUGAAUGGCAGCAUGGCAGGCCACUCUUUCGCUAUAGCUAUUUACUAUGUUGCUUGCAUUGGUUUAAAUUACUCUAACAUUAGAACUGGUAGAUUCAAAAGAGAUGAGUUUAAAAAGGAAUCUUAAAGAAAUGUUUUGU
ensembl:lncRNA